GGGUCCCAGGAGAUCAUUUAUAACUCUUUAAUAAGGAAAAGCUCCAUGGUUUUGUUCAGAUUGCUAAUCAUAUUUCAAACCAGAACCACCUGCUGAAGACCUGCAGAAACAAAAGUAGAAGAAUUCUUAAUGUCCUAAUUUGAGAGGAGGUUAUAGCACAAUAUUAUUAAGAUCAAACUGCCUCAUGCUUGAAAUCAAGAACAAACCACUCUGCCAAAAAAGGGGAAACUCUUGCAGCCCAGCAGUGAUGAAUCUUGAUGUUCUCAGCUGCUAAACAGACCUGAGCAUUGGCCCAGAGAGAAACAGUCUCAGUAACCACUGCUUUUCCAGCAGCAGCU
rnacentral:lncRNA from 1 species